AAUCUAUACAAGCUCCCAUUUGCCUAUGGCCGUUUUCUUGUGAUUUGAGUGUGUUUGCAAUAGAGGCAAAAAAGUGGCAGCCGUCUUGAUUCAUUUGAGUUCAACUAUUCCUUUUUCCACCAUUUACCUUAAUCCUUUGUGGCAGCCGAAGUGAAGUGAUGUUGUGGUUUCGGUUGUUGUUUGUUGUUGAUUUAAACUGAGCCCAGUUUCACAGAUGGUUAAAAAUUGCACCAAAUAGCCCUUUGCAACUUGGAGUUAAUAGUUGUGAAGAAAAAUUCGAGGCAAAGGUAUUUCGGUGCUACAGAAAUUUUGUAUUUUGGCAAGAGUUUUGGUUGAAUUAAGGUUUAUUCAUUCAGCUAUAUUUUGCCCUUACUAUAAGCUGUAAACAGCAAGUAAAGCAAAAUGAUGAGAAUUCAUAAGCCGAAUUUCAAUGUGGGGUUGUAAUUAUUAUGGUUUUUCAAAGUUCUCUGAUUGCUUUGCUUUGUUUGAUUAAUUGUUGAAUUUUGAUGAUAUGAAAAUUAUGUUAUGGCCUUUGUUUCCUUUCAAGUUAUUAACAAGAAUUAUAGGUUUUGAAUAAGGAUUCCUGUAUAUAUAUAUAUUUUUUUGCACUUAAUUCUUAUCUUUGUGUAGCUUAAACCAAUGUGAUCUUUUCAAGAAGAGGCCAUGUUUUUGGUGUUGCAAAGGGCAAAGCAAUAUGAUGAAAACUUGUAUAUUCUGAAUUAUAUGUGGAAAUACAUAUUCAAUGGUCUUCAAAGUUCUCUGAUUGCUUGCUGAUUCUUGACAUUUUUAGUUGCCUUGCCAUCUAUUUUUCUUUCUAUUUUAGUGGGUAGGUUAAAAUUUUGGGUUGGGAAAAGAAAGAAUUGAAGCCAGCACCAAAAUACAUGGUCUGUUUUAAAUUUCUAUUCAGACUAUACGAGCAUGGUGUUAUAUUAAAACAUUUCUUCAAUGAUUGCCAAUUGAGUGUGUUUGUGUCAAAUGGCAAAAUCGUUUUGACGAUGAAGAAAAAAGAUUUAAAAUUUUGGCACCUAAUGUGGUGAGGAUUUGCGGCUAUAUUCGACGUGGAUUGAUAGUAUGGUCCUUGUUUUGAAUUUGUCACAAAUUUUAUUAUUAUAUUUCUAAAUAUAAUUUUUAUUUAAAAUUUAAAUAAAUAAGUAACUGGGCAUGUUAUAAUUCCCUCUUUGCCUUAUUGCAUCAUUUAUUUCCCGAUAAUCAAUGUUGUGGCAAGAGAUGGGGAGGGAUAUCUUGUACCAUACCAUUGCCAUCUACAUAGAAAUUAGUAACUAUUACAACAUCAAAAAUCGUUUCUUUUGUAACUAUUUUUAGACUUUAAUUGAAUCAGUAGUCAAUGUUUUGUAACAGUUUGAUUCGCCGAACAAGGAUUUCCUUCUCGGAAAUUUUGUGUUUAUUUUAAUGUCGAGUGGUUAGUAGGGGUGAUUCUAGGAGUUUGAGGGCGAUCGUUGACUGUCUACUGUAG
rnacentral:lncRNA from 1 species